rnacentral:rRNA from 1 species
UACGUAGGGUGCGAGCGUUGUCCGGAAUUAUUGGGCGUAAAGGGCUCGUAGGCGGUUUGUCGCGUCGGGAGUGAAAACCAGGUGCUUAACACCUGGCUUGCUUUCGAUACGGGCAGACUAGAGUUCGGCAGGGGAGACUGGAAUUCCUGGUGUAGCGGUGAAAUGCGCAGAUAUCAGGAGGAACACCAAUGGCGAAGGCAGCUCGCUGGGACGGUACUGACGCUGAGGCGCGAAAGCGUGGGGAGCAAACAGG